GUUUAAAGGGGUGGAUUUACUUUCACCCCCAGACCAGUCUUGCUGUCCCCUGCCAGGACUGGAGGUGAUGAGUGGCACAGCACAGUGUUGUCUUGGUUUCUGCCUUCUGACUGUCCCACCCCAUUUCUAGGUGAACAGCACAAAGGUUUGUUCUGAUCCCCUCCAUGAUCCGUCCCAGCUCCAGGACUUCAGUGUCUUCAUCAAAAUUAUCCACAAAAUCCACAGGAGCAAGGAGGGGGAGUCUGUGCUGGAGCAGCCACUGCCAGAGAGGAUCUCCUUCAUCCAUGGUUUCCUGCAGAAGCACUGCCGGCACAAAUUGGCUGCAGAAAACCUUGUCUCUGCACAGAAACUCCUGGAUGGAGAGGAGCUGGCACUGGCCAAGGUAACUGUGUAGCAUGUUUUAGUCCCAGAUGGCACCAAUGUGCUUGAGACUGGCCUGGGGUUACUCAUGC
rnacentral:lncRNA from 1 species